AUACGGAGGGUGCAAGCGUUACUCGGGAUCACUGGGCGUAAAGCGCGCGCAGGCGGCUAUUUAAGUUGGAUGUGAAAGCCUACGGCUCAACCGUAGAACUGCAUCCAAAACUAUUUAGCUAGAGUGUGGGAGAGGAAGAUGGAAUUAGUUGUGCAGGGGUAAAAUCCGUAGAGAUAACUAGGAAUACCAAAAGCGAAGGCAAUCUUCUGGAACACUACUGACGCUGAGGCGCGAAAGCGUGGGGAGCAAACGGGAUUAGAUACCCCAGUAGUCC
rnacentral:rRNA from 1 species